rnacentral:tRNA from 1 species
UCCUAGUUAGCUCAGUUGGACGAGCGCUCCACUGUAAAUGGAGAUGUCUCUAGUUCAAUACCAGGACCCAGAG